rnacentral:rRNA from 1 species
UGGUCCGGAAUUAUUGGGGCGUAAAGGGCUCGCAGGCGGUUUCUUAAGUCUGAUGUGAAAGCCCCCGGCUCAACCGGGGAGGGUCAUUGGAAACUGGGGAACUUGAGUGCAGAAGAGGAGAGUGGAAUUCCACGUGUAGCGGUGAAAUGCGUAGAGAUGUGGAGGAACACCAGUGGCGAAGGCGACUCUCUGGUCUGUAACUGACGCUGAGGAGCGAAAGCGUGGGGAGCGAACAGGAUUAGAUACCCUGGUAGUCCACGCCGUAAACGAUGAGUGCUAAGUGUUAGGGGGUUUCCGCCCCUUAGUGCUGCAGCUAACGCAUUAAGCACUCCGCCUGGGGAGUACGGUCGCAAGACUGAAACUCAAAGGAAUUGACGGGGGCCCGCACAAGCGGUGGAGCAUGUGGUUUAAUUCAAAUCAACGCGAAGAACCUUACCAGGUCUUGACAGCCUGUGACUAUCCUAAAGAUAGGACGUCCCCUUCGG